rnacentral:rRNA from 1 species
GUAUGAAUGGUUGGUACAAAAAGUAAGCUGUCUCAAUUAUAAUAAUUGAACUUAACUUUUAAGUGAAAAGGCUUAAAUAAAUUAGGGGGACGAUAAGACCCUAUAAAGCUUGACAAUAAUUUAAUUAUACUAUCAAGUUGUUAGUGUAACUUGGUUUUAAUUAAAAUUUGUUGCGUUGGGGCGACGAGAAUAUAAUAGGUAACUGUUCUUAAAUAUUUAAUAACAAAUAUAAUG